rnacentral:rRNA from 1 species
UACGUAGGGGGGCAAGCGUUGUCCGGUAUUAUUGGGCGUAAAGAGCGGUGUAGGCGGCCAGACAGGGUCUUGCUGAGUGAAAACUCGAGGCCCAACCUCGAGACCGCCGGUGGAAACCGUUUGGCUAGAGUCCGGGAAGAGGAGAGUGGAAUUCCUGGUGUAGCGGUGAAAUGCGCAGAUAUCAGGAAGAACACCCGUGGCGUAAGGCGGCUCUCUAGUACGGUACUGACGCUGAGACGGCGAAAGCGUGGGGAGCGAACAGG